rnacentral:rRNA from 1 species
GUACACUCCUGCGGGAGGCAGCAGUGGGGAAUAUUGGACAAUGGGCGCAAGCCUGAUCCAGCCAUGCCGCGUGAGUGAUGAAGGCCCUAGGGUUGUAAAGCUCUUUCACCGGUGAAGAUAAUGACGGUAACCGGAGAAGAAGCCCCGGCUAACUUCGUGCCAGCAGCCGCGGUAAUACGAAGGGGGCUAGCGUUGUUCGGAUUUACUGGGCGUAAAGCGCACGUAGGCGGACUAUUAAGUCAGGGGUGAAAUCCCGGGGCUCAACCCCGGAACUGCCUUUGAUACUGGUAGUCUUGAGUUCGAGAGAGUUGAGUGGAAUUCCGAGUGUAGAGGUGAAAUUCGUAGAUAUUCGGAGGAACACCAGUGGCGAAGGCGGCUCACUGGCUCGAUACUGACGCUGAGGUGCGAAAGCGUGGGGAGCAAACAGGAUUAGAAACCCUAGUAGUCCCAUGA